AAACCUAGACAGCAGAGACACCACUCUGCUGACAAAGGAAAAAAGUCAGGAAGGUGCCUGUGAGGGGAACGGGCUCGUCAGCUGGACGUGGCACUCAUGUCCCCGUGUGGACACUUGUCCAGCAUCACAUCGUGCACCUUGAACUUAUACAACUUUUAUCUGCCAACGAUACUUCCAUAAAACUGGAAAAUAAUGCUGAGGACCAGCUUCCAGCUGCCCAUGUGUGAUUCAGGGACCCACAGAGUCUGGAAGUUGAGAGAUUGUUUUAUGAGGAGGAGCCUGCAGGUCAGAGAUGUUCCACUGCCUGGAGAUAAACAUGCAAUACUCCAAGGCAGCCACUCAUUUAUAGAUGAGAAAAUCAGAGCCAAGAGAAGCUGAACAUCUUGUUCAAAUCAGGAGCAACAUUAAAGCCCUAACUGGAGUGAA